rnacentral:rRNA from 1 species
AUUGAACGCUGGCGGCAUGCCUUACACAUGCAAGACGAACGGCAGCACGGGCUUCGGUCUGGUGGCGAGUGGCGAACGGGUGAGUAAUGUAUCGGAACGUACCAUUGAGUGGGGGAUAACGUAGCGAAAGUUACGCUAAUACCGCAUAUUCUCUCCGGAGGAAAGCAGGGGACCGCAAGGCCUUGCGCUCUUUGAGCGGCCGAUAUCAGAUUAGCUAGUUGGUGGGGUAAAAGCUCACCAAGGCUACGAUCUGUAGCGGGUCUGAGAGGAUGAUCCGCCACACUGGAACUGAGACACGGUCCAGACUCCUACGGGAGGCAGCAGUGGGGAAUUUUGGACAAUGGGGGCAACCCUGAUCCAGCCAUGCCGCGUGAGUGAAGAAGGCCUUCGGGUUGUAAAGCUCUUUCGGCCGGGAAAAAAUCGCAUGGAUUAAUACUCUGUGUGGAUGAUGGUACCGGAAUAAGAAGCACCGGCUAACUACGUGCCAGCCGCCGCCGUAAAAC